UCGGAAUGGUUUAAAUAUAUGUGUACAUUUAUAUCACAUGUAUCAAGGGCGGAUCCAGAAUUGUGUAAAGGGUGGCGAAAAUUUUUAAGAUUGGCGAGCGGAGCGAGGCGAAAUUUUUUUGGAACCUUUUUUGUGCUAAAAAGCAUAAAAUAAGUUUAAAAUGCACAUUUUAAACGGUUCCUGUCGUGAGGCAUGUAUAUUUUAAAGUUGCUGUAAAGUCAAAGGGUUGAUUAUUUUUUAUGCUACAUGUAUUCUCCCUAUUAUUUGUUUAUCGUAUCAUAAAAUGAUAGUAUGGAUCCAAAGCUAUGUACUGAUAUAUUUGAUGUGGGAUUCUCGUUUGUUGUACAUGUGUGUUAAGUUAGCAUAACCUCACAUAUUUCUUGUUGUAAACAAGAUAUACGCCG
rnacentral:lncRNA from 1 species